rnacentral:misc_RNA from 1 species
GGCCAGUAGCGGCGCCGCGCUGUCCGUCUCCGGGAGAGCAGCCAGUCAGCGCCCCGCCAUGGACCUGUGCUGCCUGCUGGGGUACCUGCUCACAGGAGUAGCCGUGCUACUCCUGCUGGCCCUCGUGGACCUGAAGCGACGCGGCUACUCCAGAGACAUCAGUUGGCCGGACCUCCUGAAACUCUAUGUUCUCACCCAGCUGAGCAGCAUCAAAAUGUACCGCAUGCACAAGAAGUUCGAAAGGGAUGUCCGAAGCUUUGAGCAGGCGCAAUCAAUUUUUCUGAUGGACCGGAUCCGCCGCUCAGAAAAUACAGGCUUCGGAAGAGACAACGAUUUUUCCUCCAUCCGCAGCGUGUCAGACUUCCGACGGAGUAUGCCGUUGUUUGACUUCCCGCAAAUGGAGGACUACGUCAACCGGCUGGCCGACGGAGAGAAAUCAGCCCUCCUUGGCGACAAGGAUGACGUCUUCAUCUUCAUCACAUCCUCAGGAACUACCGGCAGAAACAAGCGGAUCCCGAUGUCUCAGCAGGCCGCUAGGGACAUGCAGAACCAGGUGCUGUUUGGCCCGCUGCAGUGGGUCGUUCGCCGCCAUUUCCCCUGGAAUCUGAGGCGCAUUCUCAACGUGAACAACGGCCGUGUGCUGGAGAAGACCAAGGGCGGCUACACCGUCAGCGCCGCCGCGCACGUCGUUUACGCGCGCAUGAACACGCUGACGGCGGAGCUGUUCACCACGCCACUCGUCGGCCAGCAGGUGAAGAGCGAGUUCGAAUCUCACUACAUCCACGCACUUUUCGGCCUCUGCGACAAGCACAUCAGCGUGCUGCGCACAGUGUUCGUGUUCAACUUCCUGACGUUGAUGCGCCGCAUCCAGCAGAACCUGCCGGACCUACUGCGCGACAUGCGCCGCGGCCGCAUCAAGGAGGACCUGAACAUACCGCCCGACGUGAGGGAGGAGCUGAACCGUCACCUGAGGCCGACGCCGCAGCGGGCCGACGAGGUCGAGCGCGAGUUCGCCAAGGGCAUGGCCGGUAUCGUGCCGCGCCUCUGGCCGCAGAUGGAUCGCACCAGCGGCAUCUGGUCGGGCAGCACCAACGAGACGUACUACCGCGAGGCGCGCUACCUGCUUGGACCCGACAUCCCCAUGCUCAGCUUCACGUACAGCGCCUCGGAGGGCUACAUGGGCUCCAACAUCGACAGCUGGACCGGGCCGCCGCGCUACACGCUCAUCCCCGACAUCAUGUUCUACGAGUUCCUGCCCAUCGUCCACGACCGGAUCCCGGAGCUCGGGGAAAUCGACCGCCGGGAUCUGCUGCUCGGCCACGAGCUGGAGGUCGGCAAAGAGUACGAGAUCAUCAUCACCAACUCGUCGGGCUUCUACCGGUACCGCGUUGGAGACGUCAUCAAGGUGGUGGGCUUCUACCAGCAGGCGCCGCAGAUCGAGUUCCUCUACAGGUCGGGCCAGUCGCUGAACGUCUGCGGCGAGAAGACCUCUGAGGAGGUGUUGUUCCGCGCGCUGCGCGACGCCGCGCGGCAGUGGCCCUCCCAGCUGAAGGACUACACGGCGGCCGUCAGCCAGUUCGCACUGCGCCGCGAGGGCGACCUCAGCCUCUGCUAUAUCCUCUUCAUCGAGCUGGAGGGCGAGCCGCUGACCGAGGCUCAGACCGACCUGGUGGACGAGACACUGCGCGACCAGUCGGAGGAGUACGCCAGCUACCGGACGCUGAAGAAGCUCUCCAAGAUGACCGUGCACCAGGUGGCGCCGGGCACCUUUGCCCGGUUCCGCUCGCACCUCAUUGAGACCACGGCCGUGGCCGCCAACCAGUUCAAGAUGCCGCGCGUGCUGAAGAGCCCGGACAGUGUCGCCUGGUUCAUGGACCACGUGCAGAAGUAGAGCGGACAGUAUCGCCUGAAGAGCCCGGACAGUGUCGCCUGGUUCAUGGACCACGUGCAGAAGUAGAGCGGACUGCCGCGGUGAUGGGUGACAUGUUCGACAGGAGAAAGACAAAACGAAAAUGUUGCCUUUUCAAUGCAAUUUGAAGAGUGAAUACCAGGGUCGGAGCUUCCUACCGAGGGGUGGGGCGGCUGCCCCAGCAAAUCAUUUUUCGCAUUGAGGAGCUUUGAAAUGUUUGCGUAAUGGAAAAGAUUAUCUCCAUAAUGAUAGGAACUGAUUCAGUGUAGCAUUUAAUCCAACUUAACAAUGGGCAUUGUACUUGUAGGUUUGACGACAUUUUGCCCCACAAACUUUCAAGAAAAGGCUCCACCAACUGAGCAAUGAUGAAAUGCAGAUGUGAUGCGUGUUUUUGUUUCUCCCGGAGUGUGAAGUAAUAGUAAAAAAGUAUGAUUUGAA